CGAUCACACAGCAUCAUCCACACUGCAGGCUCUGUCAGAGGACAGAAGGAGGAGGGUGGUGAGGCAGGGCACAGGAGGGAUCGCAGCUCCAUCCCGACAGGGCACAGGAGGGAUCGCAGCUCCAGGAGGGAUCGCAGCUCUAUCCCGACAGGGCACAGGAGGGAUCGCUGCUCUAUCUCGACAGGGCACAGGAGGUAUCGCAGCUCCAUCCCGACAGGGCACAGGAGGGAUCGCAGCUCCAGGAGGGAUCGCAGCUCUAUCCCGACAGGGCACAGGAGGGAUCGCUGCUCUAUCUCGACAGGGCACAGGAGGUAUCGCAGCUCCAUCCCGACAGGGCACAGGAGGGAUCGCAGCUCCAGGAGGGAUCGCAGCUCUAUCCCGACAGGGCACAGGAGGGAUCGCUGCUCUAUCUCGACAGGGCACAGGAGGUAUCGCAGCUCCAUCCCGACAGGGCACAGGAGGGAUCGCAGCUCCAGGAGGGAUCGCAGCUCCAUCCCGACAGGGCACAGGAGGGAUCGCAGCUCCAGGAGGGAUCGCAGCUCCAUCCCGACAGGGCACAGGAGGGAUCGCAGCUCCAGGAGGGAUCGCAGCUCCAUCCCGACAGGGCACAGGAGGGAUCGCAGCUCCAGGAGGGAUCGCAGCUCCAUCCCGACAGGGCACAGGAGGGAUCGCAGCUCCAGGAGGGAUCGCAGCUCCAUCCCGACAGGGCACAGGAGGGAUCGCAGCUCCAUCUCGUGUCUGACGGCCGCAGUACAGAGCGGGGCUCCCAGCCCCGGGACAGCGCUGGCCACAGAACCUCGCCAGCGUCCCGGCGGGGGGGGAGGUCUCGGGGGGUGCCCCGACCCACGCAGCCUCACCCUGUGGCUCCUGACGGAGGCUGGCACUGGGGACAGAAGUGGCACUGGGGACAGAAUGGCACUCGGGACAGAAGUGGCACUGGGGACAGAAUGGCACUCGGGACAGAAGUGGCACUCGGGACAGCAGUGGCACUCGGGACAGAAUGGCAGAGGGGACAGAAGUGGCACUGGGGACAGCAGUGGCACUCGGGACAGAAUGGCACAGGGGACAGCAGUGGCACUGGGGACAGCAGUGGCACUGGGAACUGCAGUGUCCCUCGGCGCUUCCUGGCAGCUCGGAGCGGCGCGGGGAUCGUCCGGCUGCCGUCCCCAGCCCCAGGCUCGCAGCAGCCCCGGGGGCUCCCCGUGGCAAUGCCACCCCCUCGCUGUCCCGUGCCACCCUCUCCGCAGAGCCCCUGCCCGGCGGCGCAGCGCACGGCACCGAAAGCACAGGCACAGAUUCAUUUUUGCAGGCACGGGGCCAAGGCUGCGACUGCUUCUCGUUAGGGACGCAGAGCUGGGAGGAAAUGGCCCCGCAGCGGGCUGGGAUUCCCGAGGGGAUGAGGAGAGAGCCAUCGCUGCCCGGGGAUGUCCUGUCCCUGCGGGUCUGAGCACCCAGGCGGGGGAGCGUCCCCUUGGCGCUGGCGCGGGGACAACAACGGUGUCCUGACCCCACGCUGACCGAUUCUCCCUCCAGGCUUUGUGCCAACAGCAGAGAGGGGGGAAAAGCUCCCGGCCAGCAGAUAGUCCCGGCGAGCCAGCGAGGAGCCUGGACGCGCUGCCAGCGUGGUGUGAGCGGCAACCAGAAACCGGCUGGAAACCAACGCGAGCGAACGCGGUGCCACCGAGGAGCGGCUGGGACGGGGACGGAGAUGAGCACGGCGCCCGGAGCAGGCGGGCCCUGAGCAGAACACCCAGGACAGAAAACUCCUGCACCCGUGCCGGACGCACAGCCAGGCUCCCGCCUCCCUGCGGCUGGGAUGGACCCACGGCUCCUGCAGCCCCCCGGUGCCCUCCCAGCCCGGCUGCGGUGCCCUCCCCCGAGCAGAAAACCCCUCCGGCUCCUGCCGGCACAGCCCUGGCGCCGGGAUCUCGUUGCUCGCACGGCAGAGCGCCAAGCGCUCCGGCCGGGAGCUGCAGGUGUUGGGCUGGCGGCAGCACGGCGCCCGGAGCAGGCGGGCCCUGAGCAGAACACCCAGGACAGAAAACUCCUGCACCCGUGCCGGACGCACAGCCAGGCUCCCGCCUCCCUGCGGCUGGGAUGGACCCACGGCUCCUGCAGCCCCCCGGUGCCCUCCCAGCCCGGCUGCGGUGCCCUCCCCCGAGCAGAAAACCCCUCCG
ensembl:lncRNA